rnacentral:misc_RNA from 1 species
UCCCCCACUAAGAGAUAUUCCAAAUUUUUCUGCUGCAUUUGGGAAGAGUCCAAGAUCAACCCGUCCAAAUGAUAAGUUCUUGGUCGAGUAUAUAAUUGAGAGCUCAGGAAAACACCGACUUGCACGUAUACAAGCAGAUGAAUAGAAAGCAUAAAAUUCCACCAACCAGAAUCUUGAUGUGUUCCCUUCUGUCAGCAAGGCUUCUAAUUGCAGCGGUGUUAAUUUAUUUGAACUACCUAGUCCUUGGAAGGCAGGCUGUUGUGUUGAGAUAUAUAUAACUGAAAAUAUCACUAUGUACCAGAGAGCCAAGUGGUAAUCCAAUAUCAAAGUAAUGGCAACAAGAAGAAGCUUUGCAAAGAACAGUAUGUCAGCAACAAAGGCCUCCCAUGUUUCUUCUUUCACCCACUUAAUAACAGCUAAAACGGAAAGCAACAGAAUCCCUUGAAUCUCCCAAUGAAGGAGACGGUGAGUGAU